GGAGGAUCCAAGCGUUAUCCGGAUUUAUUGGGUUUAAAGGGUGCGUAGGCGGCGUGAUAAGUCAGUGGUGAAAGUUUGCGGCUUAACCGUAAAAUUGCCAUUGAUACUGUCGGGCUUGAGUACAGAUGAGGUAGGCGGAAUGUGUCAUGUAGCGGUGAAAUGCAUAGAUAUGACACAGAACACCGAUUGCGAAGGCAGCUUACUAAAGUGUAACUGACGCUGAGGCACGAAAGCGUGGGGAUCAAACAGGAUUAGAUACCCUGGUAGUCCACGCCCUAAACGAUGAUUACUCGAUGUCGGCGAUAGACAGUCGGCGUCCAAGCGAAAGCGUUAAGUAAUCCACCUGGGGAGUACGGUCGCAAGAUUG
rnacentral:rRNA from 1 species